UCAUAAAAGGUAUAAUACAAAUCCUGAGCAUCUCAGUGUGAAAGUAACAGCAGAUAGAGGCCAUCUCUGCAAGAGCGAUGGACACCUGGAGCGUUGGGUGGAAGGUAUUUCUGAAAGGGACAAGUGCCCCAAGAAGGAAAUCAUGAGGGGAGAGUACAAGGAAGUACAAAAACAAAUUCCACCUUCUUGGAAGCUACAAGUUAGGCUUGUGAUCAUCAAAGUGGACACAUUUGGAAGCCAGCUGCCAUCUAAGAAGUCUAACUAACCUGAGGCCACCAUGCUGUAAGGAUGCCUAAGAUAGCCAUGUGGAGACAGGGAGGCCAUGUGGAAGAUCACUGAAAUGCCAUUUAUAUUGGAGACACCUGAUUGAACAGCCUGUUAUAUUGAUACCAAGAGCACCAGGAAUCUGCUCCCUGACCUGACCUGCAUAAGUUAAUUAGUUUGUGUGUCCAAAAGAUAUUUAUGGUUGUAACCUCUUGGCUAUAUCAUUGAUGAAGCUCCUGAUAUUUUCCUGAGCUGAGUUUCCAGAGCAACUAUAGCUGAGAGUUGGCUGGCUGGCUGGAACAGAAUCCCUAAGAGAUGCAUUGGUGAAAUCAUGAGAGACCAUGGUCGCUGGUCAGCAGAUACUCAGAAACCUAUGGGAAAUGUAAUUUUAUUUUACCUUUGAAGUUCGUGUCAAGAAGAUCAUUCACUUUUGUGACCAUGGCACUGAGACAUUUUUGUAAUUUCCCAUAGCUUAAGGGUUUUUCAUGCUGCAUUAAGUAUCUAUGGUGUUUAAAUAGCAUUACAGCCUAUUAAAUCCGUGACCCACAAAGUAGGAAGCUUGAGAGGCACAAAAAAGUAAUUCACAAGAAGUUUUCUAUAAGGUUAUUUUCCUGUAAAAUAGAAGGAAAAAAAAAAGAGCCCUUUAUGUAAAAAGUAGGAAUUUGGGUCCGUGGGUCAUUGAUAAGUGGGAUAUAAAGGGGAAAAAAUUACAACUGUCUCUACCUAAUUUCCUCUGUCGCAUGUUUUUGGUUUCUUAUAGCAAAUAUGUCCAUGACAUUGCAUAUUCAAGGCAUUAGGAGUCACUGCCUUAGAAUUCAUGACUUCUUGCUUUCCAUGCUGAAGUUUGACCAUACCUGUGUAUCCGAUACCCAGAAAGAGCCCCUCUCAUUGCAAUAAAAAUAUCUUCAACCAGGGGCUACUCUAAUUUUGUUUGGCUUUGGUCUUAUGAAAUGACUCACCUAACACUUUAAAAAACUUCUCCACAUAUUGAAUAAAUAAAAUACAACUGAAUCACUAAUUUGCAGUAACUAACUGCACUAACUAGCCCUCAGUUGGAGAUAGAAGGAUUGCAAUGUUUUAUUCUCUGAAAUGAAGCUACUUUUUUUUUUUAAUGCACCCUUGGAAAAUCACCAUUUGACUUUCGGACACAGUGUUUCAGACUCUA